UCGGCGGCCUCUCUCCACCGCGCGCCGCCGUCCUCCUUCCCCGACGCCGGCCGCCGCCCUCCACCACGCGCCGCCGUCCUCCUUCCCCGACGCCGGCCGCCGCCCUCCACCACGCGCCACCCUUCUCCUUCCCCGGCGCCGGCCGCCUCCCUCCACUACGCGCCGCUCCUUCUUCCCCGACGCCGGACGCCUCCCUCCACCACGCACCGCCCUCCUCCUUCCCCGGCUCCAGCGGCCUGCCUCCACCAUGCGUCGCCCUCCUUCUUUCCCGGCACCGGCCGCAUGCCUCCACCAUGCGCCGCCCUCCUCCUUCCCCGGCGCCGGCCGCAUGCCUCCAGCACGCGCCGCCCUCCUCCUUCCCCUGCGCCGGCCACCUACAUCCAUUGCAUAGAUCCCACCGCAGCCCCAAAACCUGAACGGCACCGCCGCUGUCAUCCCGCCGCUAUCGCUCUGCUGUCGUGUACACGUGGUUCAACGCCUCAGCCCCAGGUCGUUCACUGCCUCGCCGUCCUGCGGCUCCUCCAUGGAUGCCUAGCUCCUCUACUAGAGCCACCGCGGCCCACGACAUCCCAAGGUGGCGGAGUUCGUUGCAUCCAUCAGUCCAAACCCAUGGCUUCAGGGUGGCCAAGUUUUGUUGCGGCCGUCAGUUCGGACACCUGCGUCACUACGUGCCUUGCUACCACUGCCAUUUGCGUCACUGCGUGCUCCGUCACCGUCCUCAUGCGCACCGUGAUCCCUGGCGCACUCCUUCCUCUCCGUGAUGCUGCUCGUGCCGUCCCAGGCUUGAUCUCCUGCUGCAGCGAUGAGCUCCUGUACAUUGGUGAAGUUCCAUACCUGGCGGCACCAGAACGAGGAUACAACAGCCAGGCUGGACCCCAGUUCGUGCCUCCCUCUCUCUCCCUUAGCUACAUCAUCACUGUUGCAGUGCUACUGAUUGAUUUCUUGUAGUGAACUGUGAUGCUCUACUGAUGGAGAGAAGUUUGGGAAACAACACAAAUAUUGGUAUUUGGAGUUAUGAAUUUGGUGCUCCGUAGGUACUUGUUGGUAUAUGCAAGUGAGGGCCAGCAUUUUUUUCUUCAGAUUCUUGUGUUUGUACAAGGGUUAAAACUUAAAAGUAUUUAGUUGUACAAAUUGAAAUUCCACAUAAUCCUCUGACUGCAAGUUUUACUUGUGACUUUGAUGCUUCGUAGGUGCUUAAAAGUAUUUAGGUGGGUGGUCCGACACCGCUGCGUCCAGCAGUCCAACUCCGCCGCCGGAGGCCGUUCACUGUCGCAAUGCCUACUUUUGCCUGCACCUCCUUCCCGGUCAUCAUGAGUUCGACUCUGAGAGCUAUUAAGUUCGACGAAAAAACAGCACAAGGCAUGUCAGUUCGUGCAAAGCAUAUCAGUCUUUCAGUUCGUGAGCUCGUCAGUUCACCGAUGGGAUCCGCAGCUGCCAGGCGGUUCACAGCCACCACCCUAGUCUGUUCAUCACUGCCAAUCGAGGUCGUUCGACGAUGCAGCGUUGAGGUCGGUCAACGACGCAAUGAUCCUAAGGAGCUGUUGCUGUCGCUGGUCGUUGCUGUCGGAGCCGCGGCGUGUUGACAAGAUCCUGCAGAGCCAUGAGCUGUGUAUCCGGCAAGCCGGCUGCCGGUCAUGGUUCCACAAAGGAAACAAGAGGGAGCGGCGGCACUGAGACCGAGGGAGACGCACACAUGCUAGACCUCCUGUGUAGAACGCUUGAAUUCUUUGAAUGUUUUUAGGUGCUUCUGUUUGCAAACCUAGAAAUGGGCGUUGGGCCAACUACAAGGCAAUGCCACCAGGUAGGGCACGAGACGGCUGCGAAGCGCGACAUGAGCCUUUCCGACCCCAUUUCCAGGUGCAGCGCCAGGGAUCUCACUGUGGGGUGCACAAAGGCACUAGCGACUCUACUUCCAUUUCUCUUCAGAAGUUCUGCUAACCAAUUAGCCACUAAUAAGAUGACUUUGCUUCCAACUAGCCACUGAAAGUUGUGGCCAUUUAAUGUCACCUUCUACAUUUAAGAUAGGUCAAACUGUAACCUUCCAAUGUUAUCGUUUGGUGCUUAAGAUGCUUUAUGUUUUGUUGAUCUACAGAGUGGCUAUCUGAGAGCUAUGUUGAACUUUCUUAUUAGAGUUUAUACUUCUUUAAAAAUCCGAGUUA